AGUGAACGCUGGCGGUGGGCCUAACACAUGCAAGUCGAACGGCAGCACAGUAAGAGCUUGCUCUUACGGGUGGCGAGUGGCGGACGGGUGAGGAAUACAUCGGAAUCUACUUUUUCGUGGGGGAUAACGUAGGGAAACUUACGCUAAUACCGCAUACGACCUACGGGUGAAAGCAGGGGAUCUUCGGACCUUGCGCGAUUGAAUGAGCCGAUGUCGGAUUAGCUAGUUGGCGGGGUAAAGGCCCACCAAGGCGACGAUCCGUAGCUGGUCUGAGAGGAUGAUCAGCCACACUGGAACUGAGACACGGUCCAGACUCCUACGGGAGGCAGCAGUGGGGAAUAUUGGACAAGGGGCGCAAGCCUGAUCCAGCCAUACCGCGUGGGUGAAGAAGGCCUUCGGGUUGGAAAGCCCUUUUGUUGGGAAAGAAAAGCAGCAGGUUAAUACCCCGCUGUUCUGACGGUACCCAAAGAAUAAGCACCGGCUAACUUCG
rnacentral:rRNA from 1 species